UACGUAGGGGGCUAGCGUUGUUCGGAAUCGUUGGGCGUAAAGCGCGUGUAGGCGGCCCGGUAAGUCCGCUGUGAAAGUCCAGGGCUCAACCCUGGGAUGCCGGUGGAUACUGUCGGGCUCGAGUCCGGAAGAGGAGUGUGGAAUUCCUGGUGUAGCGGUGAAAUGCGCAGAUAUCAGGAGGAACACCAAUGGUGAAGGCAGCACUCUGGGACGUGACUGACGCUGAGACGCGAAAGCGUGGGGAGCAAACAGG
rnacentral:rRNA from 1 species